GCCCGUCAACUUAAAAAUGUUGCUAUAUUAGACAUCAUAGUUGUUUAAUUAGAUAGUUAUGCUUUAGUAAAUUAUAUCUUAGUGUAUUAUACCCGUAAUAACUUUGGUGUUUUGCAUACCACCUAGAUGGACAACGUAGUCAAUAUUUUUUACGGCGGUAGUGUGGAGGAAGAUGAGUUUUGGAACGUUAGUUUUGUUGGAAUGCAAAGAGUGGCUCUCAUGUUUGA
rnacentral:lncRNA from 1 species